UGUUCUGAACAGGCUUCAUAUUUUAGCCCUUUAUCUGGAGAAGCUGUGGACAGGCUGGCAAACUGACAGGCCUUUAACAUGAUGCUGAUACCAUAUUAAAAACAUUCACUAAUUGAUCCUAAUUGUCACACUAGGAAAGGAGAGAGUGAGGAAAAUGUGUUGAGUGUAAAGUUGUCAGUCGGGGAAUAACACAGGGCUGUGAAUGAGCCCCGUCACUGUGAUCAGGCUCCUCCUUCUAAUCCACCAACUUAGUGUUGAUGAAGACUAAACAGAGAGAUCACAGCCUUCUUUAUACUUGCUGGAGCUCACAGUUCCUCAACACUGCAGAUAUGACGCCUCUGUUCAUCUCAGUGUUGCUGGCUGCUGUGUGCCUUGAAUGCAGAGCACAAAAAGACAACGUGCUGCAACCAGAAGGAGACGUGACUGCUGCUGAAGGAGAGACAGUAACACUUGGCUGUCUAUAUAACAGCAGUACAACAAAUGAUUAUCUCUUCUGGUACAAACAGGAUGGAAACAACAGCCCUGAAUUCAUACUGAGCCGCGUUCAACGGGAUGAAGGGAAAACAGCAGACAAGUACAAGGAGAGAUUUUCAUCCACACUGGAUUCCACCUCUAUUCAUACUGAACAUUCAGUUCCAGCAUUUCUCCUCUGUCAACAUGGAGAAACUCGCUGCACUUUUGUUCUUUUCAGCUCUCGUAGGUAACACCUUGGAAGAUGAUAUUACUGCCAGCAGAGCUGAAGUGUUCUCAUCAGAGGGCCGUAGUGUUACUCUGUCCUGUAGCUAUUCAGUUAAAGCCGAUAAUCUCCAGUGGUAUCGACAGGAUCCUGGAUCAGCUCCU